rnacentral:rRNA from 1 species
AUACGAAGGUCCCAAGCGUUAUUCGGAAUCACUGGGCGUAAAGAGUACGUAGGCGGUUUGGUAAGUCAGGUGUGAAAUCCCGAAGCUCAACUUCGGAACUGCAUCCGAUACUGCCAGACUAGAGUAAUGGAGAGGCAGGUGGAAUUCUCGGUGUAGCAGUGAAAUGCGUGGAUAUCGAGAGGAAGACCAAUGGCGAAGGCAGCCUGCUGGACAUUUACUGACGCUGAGGUACGAAGGCUAGGGGAGCGAAAGGGAUUAGAAACCCUUGUAGUCC